UACAGAGGGUGCAAGCGUUGUUCGGAAUCACUGGGCGUAAAGCGCGCGCAGGCGGAUGGUUGCGUCCGGAGUGAAAUUUCGCCGCUCAACGGCGAAGCUGCUUUGGAUACGGACCGUCUAGGGACCGGUAGAGGCUGGUAGAAUUGCAGGUGUAGCGGUGGAAUGCGUAGAGAUCUGCAAGAAUACCCGUGGCGAAGGCGGC
rnacentral:rRNA from 1 species